GGUAAAUAUGUUUAUUAUGUCGAAUGGAGCAAUGCGGAUCCUCUCUGAUAAGCUGAACAAAAUGACCAGAAGCACAGCCGUUGCAGACCCAUGCUGAUUUCACAUAUACAAUCUUGCCUAUAUAUGUAUAUGUAUGUACUACUGGAGCCGAGUUCGUUAGCCUCUCCGUCAAUGAUAUAGCACCGAGAAAUGGGACUUGUAAUGAAACUGAUAUAAAUAUAUUUAUAUGUAUAUUUUA